rnacentral:rRNA from 1 species
AUUGAACGCUGGCGGCAUGCCUUACACAUGCAAGUCGAACGGCAGCACGGGAGCAAUCCUGGUGGCGAGUGGCGAACGGGUGAGUAAUGUAUCGGAACGUGCCCAGUCGUGGGGGAUAACGCAGCGAAAGCUGUGCUAAUACCGCAUACGAUCUAUGGAUGAAAGCGGGGGAUCGCAAGACCUCGCGCGAUUGGAGCGGCCGAUAUCAGAUUAGCUAGUUGGUGGGGUAAAGGCUCACCAAGGCGACGAUCUGUAGCUGGUCUGAGAGGACGACCAGCCAAACUGGAACUGAGACACGGUCCAGACUCCUACGGGAGGCAGCAGGGGGGAAUUUUGGACAAUGGGCGCAAGCCUGAUCCAGCAAUGCCGCGUGCAGGAUGAAGGCCUUCGGGUUGUAAACUGCUUUUGUACGGAGCGAAAAGGCUUUCUCUAAUACAGGAGGCUCAUGACGGUACCGUAAGAAUAAGCACCGGCUAACUACGUGCCAGCAGCCGCAGUAAGAC